CCCAAGGUUGCUCAUUCCAUGGUGGCCUCUGAGAGACAGGAGGUGCCACUGUUCAACACUCCUUCCAACAAUCCCAGGACAGAACUAUCAGUGCCAAACAGAAGCUGGCCUCAUUCCACCCAGUUUUGCUUCCCUCCUCUAUACACUGGAGUGACAGGUGGAGGUCAAAGACAAGAGAAGCAGGGCAGGAAACGGUGGAUCUGGAAGGAGCUGGGCUGACACUGACUCUUGGCUUCUGAAGCAAAGGCAAGGACACAAACAACCAAAAUUGAAAACCAAAAUCCGUGGAAGAAUUGGAGAGAAAUGAGGCCUGAGGAGAUUAGGUGCCUGUACCAAAUAGGAGCCAGGUCAGGGAGUGUGGUGCACUGAUCAAAACUAGGAACCCUGGAGUCAGGUGCCUCAGUUCGAAUCCUGCUCCUGAGGCCCACCAGAUCUUGGGCAAGUUGUUUGACCUCGUCCAGUUGCAAUUUCCUCCUCUGUAAAAUGGAGCUCCUCACUUAAGAACAGGAUGGUGUGAGAUGUCAGGAUAUUUCAGGAAACCAAGCCACCUGCAAGAAGACAAUUAUAGCUCCAAGGAGAGAUGAGCCCUGCCCUUCAGUCAUUAAGGAUUUUUGGAUGAAACAUCUAUCUUCAGGGAGCCUGGAUGACUUACUGGGUAAGCCAGAGGGAUAAUGGUAGGAAUAACCAUGGAAAUGGAGGAUGCCACCUUUCUUGGUGUAUGGAAUGGGGGAAAUGGGAACAACUUUCCUAUGCUACCACUCUUCUGCACUUAUCUCUCACUAGUUGGCAAUCUGGUUUAUGGGAUUUAACAUUAAGAUGAAGUUUCAAAAAUUAGACUCUGAUUUAUUGUUACAGAUUGGAAUGAUUAUUCUCUUCAGUAAAAUUAUUUUUUCCUAAUUAAAAUAUAUUUAGAAGGAUAAUACAUUUUAUAUUGGAAUACAUUAAAAACAAUUUCAGUAGUUUGGCUUCUUUGAAUUAGCUAUAUAUUAAAAUAUGAAGUUAAUAAGCAAUAUAUAGGCCGGAACUGCGGCUCAAUAGGCUAAUCCUCCGCCUUGCGGCGCCGGCACACCAGGUUCUAGUCCUGGUCAGAGCACUGGAUUCUGUCCUGGUUGCCCCUCUUCCAGGCCAGCUCUCUGCUGUGGCCCGGGAAGGCAAUGGAGGAUGGCCCAAGUACUUGGGCCCUGCACCCCAUGGGAGACCAGGAGAAGCACCUGGCUCCUGCCUUCAGAUCAGCGUGGUGCGCCGGCCGCAGUGCGCCAGCCGUGGCGGCCAUUGGAGGGUGAACCAACAGCAAAAGGAAGACCUUUCUCUCUGUCUCUCUCUCUCUCACUAUCCACUCUGCCUGUCAAAAAAAA